rnacentral:rRNA from 1 species
CCUACGGAGGCAGCAGUGGGGAAUAUUGGACAAUGGGCGAAAGCCUGAUCCAGCCAUGCCGCGUGUGUGAAGAAGGCCUUCGGGUUGUAAAGCACUUUCAGUGGGGAAGAAAGCCUUGGGGCUAAUACCCUCGAGGAAGGACAUCACCCACAGAAGAAGCACCGGCUAACUCCGUGCCAGCAGCCGCGGUAAUACGGAGGGUGCGAGCGUUAAUCGGAAUUACUGGGCGUAAAGCGCGCGUAGGCGGUCUGAUAAGCCGGUUGUGAAAGCCCCGGGCUCAACCUGGGAACGGCAUCCGGAACUGUCAGGCUAGAGUGCAGGAGAGGAAGGUAGAAUUCCCGGUGUAGCGGUGAAAUGCGUAGAGAUCGGGAGGAAUACCAGUGGCGAAGGCGGUCUUCUGGACUGACACUGACGCUGAGGUGCGAAAGCGUGGGUAGCAAACAGGAUUAGAUACCCUAGUAGUC